GUGUGAUGAUCAUUAUUAUUAGGGCACUGUCUCAAUGAGGAAAAGAUGAUGGAGACAAUGAUUCCCCCACAAGUCGGGAUGAGACUCCGGACAAAAAAUGAAAGAAAAAAAGAAAUGAAAGAGAGAGACAAAGAAAAAGAAAUAAAUGAGAAAAAAGAGAGAAGGGACUGUGCUACUACCUCUUUUUCCACACUUGUGCCUCGAAGUGGCACCAUGUUCUUCAUAUAGAGAGUCUCUUGUUUUGACACUUCCAUAAGCUAGUGAAAAUGUUUCAUUAUAGAGAUUGGCUUGUAUGUUCUGAUGAAGGGCUUCCUCCAAUGCUCGAGGACUUCAUGAGCACACCCACUUACCUUCAGUUGAGCUUUCAUACACUUAUAGCUCUAGUGCAUCCGUUGCAUGCCAAUGCCUACUCCAAUCAUUGUUAUAUAUUGAUGGGCAUCUUCAUAUACGUUGAAACGCCUAGUUGAUGCGAGACUUUCUUCCCCACUUUCACUCCUUUAAAAACUACCACCAUAUUAUAUUUCAUCCUUAUGCUAUAUACAUGAUUCACACCCAUAUAUUGAGUGAGUAAUAAAAAGCUGAAGCGCGUUAAAGAGUACGAUUCAAUUGCCUGACUUGACACCGUGGUGCUUAACAUUUAUACUUAUGUGGUGAAGAC
rnacentral:lncRNA from 1 species